ACGGAGGAUGCAAGCGUUAUCCGGAUUUAUUAGGUUUAAAGGGUGCGUAGGCGGUACAGUAAGUCAGGGGUGAAAACCAGUUGCUCAACAACUGGCUUGCCUUUGAUACUGCUGAACUUGAGUGCAGACGAAGUACGCGGAAUGUGUAAUGUAGCGGUGAAAUGCAUAGAUAUUACACAGAACACCGAUAGCGAAGGCAGCGUACUAGGGUGUAACUGACGCUGAGGCACGAAAGCGUGGGGAUCAAACAG
rnacentral:rRNA from 1 species